CUUCAACUUGAAUUCAAAGAAGGUACGAUCUCUCUUUGGUUCUGCUUUUAUGGAAAGUUCUCAUAUGAUUUUGCCCUUAGUAAUCUGUUUUUCGAAUUUUCAUUCUGGGCUUUGUAUUAAUCUAAGAUUUUAUAUACUCUUCGUGAUCUCAUUUUCAUCAAAUAGUAUGUGGUAAUUUAUCCAUCUGGGUUUUGGAGAUUUAUGAGUUCUCUUUACUUCUUUCCUUUUGCAUUGCUUUCUAUACGAAAAUUGCUUAUAAAACAUGUGAUUCCAGGAAUGGAGAGCGACGAGGAAAUUAGAAGAGUGCCGGAAUUCGGCGGUGAACCGGCUGGAACUUCAGCCUCAGGUC
rnacentral:misc_RNA from 1 species